UACGUAGGGUGCAAGCGUUGUCCGGAAUUAUUGGGCGUAAAGAGCUCGUAGGCGGUCUGUUGCGUCGGCUGUGAAAACCCGAGGCUCAACCUCGGGCCUGCAGCCGAUACGGGCAGACUAGAGUUCGGCAGGGGAGACUGGAAUUCCUGGUGUAGCGGUGAAAUGCGCAGAUAUCAGGAGGAACACCGGUGGCGAAGGCGGGUCUCUGGGCCGAUACUGACGCUGAGGCACGAAGGUCAGGGGAGCAAACGGG
rnacentral:rRNA from 1 species